rnacentral:rRNA from 1 species
AUUGAACGCUGGCGGCAUGCUUUACACAUGCAAGUCGAACGGUAACAGGCCUUCGGGUGCUGACGAGUGGCGAACGGGUGAGUAAUGCAUCGGAACGUACCCAGAGGUGGGGGAUAACGCAGCGAAAGCUGUGCUAAUACCGCAUGUGAUCUGAGGAUGAAAGCGGGGGACCGAGCAGCAAUGUUUGGCCUCGCGCCUUUGGAGCGGCCGAUGUCGGAUUAGCUAGUUGGUGGGGUAAAGGCCUACCAAGGCGACGAUCCGUAGCUGGUCUGAGAGGACGACCAGCCACACUGGGACUGAGACACGGCCCAGACUCCUACGGGAGGCAGCAGUGGGGAAUUUUGGACAAUGGGCGCAAGCCUGAUCCAGCAAUGCCGCGUGCGGGAAGAAGGCCUUCGGGUUGUAAACCGCUUUUGGCAGGAACGAAACGGUGUCCGCUAAUACCGGGCGCUAAUGACGGUACCUUCAGAAUAAGCACCGGCUAACUACGUG